UGUCGGGCUUUUCGAUAGAAACAUAAUUACUAAACCUCAAAUAAUUAAUAGGCUCAAAAGAGAGUAGCCAAUUAAUUAAAUAAACCAGUGGCCUUAAUGAAAUAAACAGUAAUGGCUUGCUUUAAAGUCUGAAGUCCAAAAACAAUAUUAAAUAAACUGGGCGGCUCAUUUACUGAAUACGAAUCGGCUCACCCACUGAUAAAUAAUUGGGCUCCAUCAAAAAUUGAUACUGCUAGGCUUAGCUCAAAGGAGUAACUUCAGCUCAAGCUUUAAAAGAAUUAAAGCCCAACUUAAAAAGUCUUCGACCCAAAACAAUUAAAAUAGGGGUCCAAAUAAUAAUUAAUGUGGACUGAAAAGAAUUAAUCUUAGCCCAGAAAGGCAAUUUAAUCGGCCAAAAUGAUGAAUUAAACUGGCCCAACGAAAUAUAAAUGGGACUAGAAUAAUAGCCCAUCAUAAAAUAUGCAUCAGCCCAACUCCUUAAAUAAAUCAAGCCCAAUAGAAUUAAUGAAAAGGGCCAAUUAAAAUUAAAGACUGGCCCAGUUCGAAUUUAAUGAAAGCCCAAUCAAUUAAAUUGGAAGCUCAAUUCCUUUAGAAUAAAACAAACCCAAGCUCAAAUAAUUCGGCCCAAAUAAUAUAGAUAAAGGCCCAAUUCGAAUUUAGAUGUGAAGCCCAAGCCAUUAAAAUUCAAGCCCGAAAAUUAAAAGGGAAAAGCCCAAACAAUUAAAAUAUAUCGGCCCAACUGAUAGCCCAAUCUCUCUCUCUUUUCUAAUUCUCGGUCUCUCUCUCUUUCUCAAGAUUCAAUCUCGCCUUUCUCUCUCUGGAAGAGCCGCUCAAGACAUCUCUCUCUCUCUCGCCCGCUCUACACGAGCUCCGCCGCCGCGUCUGCACUUCUUCCGGCCAUUCAACCGGCAUCUGCUUUGGUCGGCUUCGACUGCCGACUCGUGAAACCCCGGCCGCGUUCUCUCUCUGCUCCUUCGUCCAUCCGCAGAACCCAAUCGAGCCCUAGAAUCUGGAAUGUCGCCGCUGCCGAGCAGCCGCUGCUCGGGCUCGGUACCGGUCGAACAGAGCGGUUGCGUCUCGUUCGUGGCUGCGUCGGGCUGUUCUCCCUCUCUCCCCGCUCUCUCUCUCAUCGUGUUCGCCUCACACUCCAGGAACCCGCCGCCUUCCUCCGCGGCUUCUGAAAUCCGGCGAGGUCAACGCCGUUCGUUUCCCCUUCUUUUAAAGCUGAAUCUGCCGCUCCGGGUUCGCCGCCGUGCCUUUGCUUUGCCUCUACGAUCUGCCUUGGUUCGAUCUUGGCCGGGGUCGCCUCUGUCUCUCCCUCGAAUCUCCUCCGGCGGAGCAACAGCAGCCGCCGGACUUGGCCCCCUCUGUUCCAGCCCCGCGUCCAGCCGCCGCUGCCGUCCAGCCGCCGGAUCGUUGCUGCUAUUUGGGGUUCCGAUGAGGUUGGCGAGUUCGCCCUGUUCCGACCAUCGUCGUCGUCAUCGGGCAGUCAGCCCUUCCUCUCAAGAUAAGUCUUUUUCUUACUCAAUUAUCUCGGUUCUUAACGUGAAUUAGCCAAGAAUAAAGUGUAAUCUCUUCUUGCUUUGCAUAAACUCAAAUUAUGCUCGUUUAAAACUACAUACGAACUGCUACUUGUUCAUGAAAGCGUAGUUGGUUGCUUAGUAAGUUCAAGAUGCUAUAAGGUCUUCUAUGAUUGAACUGAUCAUGCCCAUGCUUUAAUAUGAAUGUUUACUGGAAAGGAUAUUUGAGAUUGUGAAUUACCUUGCGAAUGUUUUGGGCUUGGUUGGCUGCUGUGAUGUUGAGUUAAAAGAACUGGAAUGACUGAACUGAAAGAUCAAACUUGUUUCUUUCAAUAACUGUAAGUUGUAAUUGGAAGGAGAUGAUGAAUCAAUACUAAUUUUUUUACCUUAAUGUUUCUGGCAGAGAGUGAAUGAGUGAUUUCUCUCACUUUUCGGUUGUAGUGCAUUGAAUGAAUUGAAACUUGAAAACAUUGGCAGGUUGAAAUGGAGGCUCCCCUGCUCUUUGGGAGAUUCUUGGUGAAAAGUGAUAGUGAGUCUUGCGUUGCUUGGCUGAAGUUGAGACUAAGAUAAGGAAGAGUUGUUGCUGCACUAGUAUGGUGGGGGAGUUGGUGGUUGUGGAGUUGGUGGGGAGAAAAAGAUGGUGGAAAGCAUGACUUUAGCAAAGUUAAAGAAAAGGAGCUGAUUUUGUAAAACUAUGCAUAUUUUAUUUUGAUUUUGUGUCAAUACUUUAGUGAGUGGGAUUAAGUGGCCACGUAGAGUCCACAAUCUUUGUGGUAUACUAGACGAUUUUCCCCAAGCUGGGAACUAGACUGUAAUCUGUGAACUGUAAAUAAAUACUGGCUUCGAUUUUAAAUCAUCGCAUUUCUGUA